UCCAAGAAUAUUAACGGUGCAAUAUGGUAUACUGUACAUUUACAUAUGACUUUGUUGUUUAGUUUAAUUUACAUUUCCAGCGUUAAAAGAUGUUCUUUUGGACUAAUAUAAUUCUGCCAGACCUGCUACACAGUUCUUUAAGUUUGCACUUUGCUGUUCCUUAUUAUUGCCACCUUUCAUUCUUUAGAAUGAUAAGCUCAGUACACAUGCAAGGUAAGAGUUUGACUACUGUCUACAGCCAUUCCGUUGAUAUAAAGGCUUCCUGCAUAUAUCUUUGUGGAACAUAUGCCGGUUUCUUAAAUCUAACCUAUUUCUUUUCAUUAAAAAUUUCAUGUGAAUAUCAAUGUUCAUAACUGGAUUCUAUCCUGAAGUAGAUUGCAUUAUAUUAAUAGAGAACUACGUUCUUUUAUCUGUUAUGUUAUGCUGAUACAAGGUCUUAAUAGUGCUGUUUCAUAUAAACAAGUGGUGUUGUUCUUGCUUAAAUAUUUUGCAGGAUUGAGGUAACAGAGUCAUUUCUGGUUAGAUAGCUUGCUUUUAGAUGCUCCAAAGGAAUUUGGAUCGGUCCAUUAGGAUUUUUCCGAGUUGUAGUUUUGUUGAUGUAUAUAGUAAAAAGAAUACGUAACUAUAUGUAAGAGCCCUUAUCUGUAAACUAGAAAAAAAUAAUCUUUGAGUUUGGUACUGUAAAUACCACUCCUGAUUUCUGAUAAGAUAAGUUUAUAUGUAACUUGCAAUUUCUGAAAAAGAUAUCUUAGUAACAGAUACAUAUCUUUUGCCGGAUUCCUUGGAAACUCAAAUAUCAUCAAUCUGAUGCUGAAGGGACUCAAAUAAUAAAUAGCAUUUUCUGAUUUGGAUUUGAAUAUCAGGAUAUGUGCUCCGUAUUGCCACACGUUUACCCCAGCUAACUUGCUACAUAAAAUUUCACUUUCCAUUUCAUCCUUGUACAUAUGUACUAUAUUGACUUUCUUUCUGAUAGACUAGAGAAUACCUCAGUUUUCUCAUUCAAAAGACUAGAGAAUACUUUCUUUCUGUAGUAUAAUGGCUAGUAAUUGGUUAGUGACUUAUUAUUUUAUAGUUUCAGCUGAAUCUCACUGCUUGUGUACCUCUGUCGUGGAAAUUAGAUGUAUUCGUACGGUCUUGCUGUUUUCAAUGGUUAAGAACUGAUUUCUGGCUGGAAAGAUGGCUCAAACAUCUAAAGGGGCAUUAAGAUUUAUUUGUGAAUUAAAUAAUGAUCAGCAAAACCAGUGUCUUAAGCAGUAUCAGAACAGGCUGAUGAAUAAAUAUUAUGUACCUCUGGGUUUGGGAGUGAGCCUUGAAGAAGAGAUUAUGAGUUGUUUUUUCUUAAUUUGGAUAAACAAAAUGUGCAUAUUUUGGGACCUGCAUCCAUCAUCGUUGUCAAUCAUCUAAGACUUUCCUCUUCAAAUUUAGGAAAGCUAUUACGCAUAAAAGCAAAUUUUCUAGCAGAUCAUCCUCAUCCUCAUCAUCAAUUGUGUUCUGCUCAAAAGAGAUCAAUGCUGUGCACAAAUCCUGCAGUUAAUAAUCUUCCAACAUUUUGUCAACCUGAUGUUAACGGGGUCUGAAUUGGUGCUGAAAUCUUGGGAAGAAAUGGAAAGAGAGACUUUGUAUGAAAUCUGGAGGCUUAUUAGGCUGUUGGAAGGCCUAGUUCAUGCAGCUUAAGUUCACUCAGGUGAUCGACUUAUAAGGGGUUGGCUAAGAGGAGGUCGAGCAUUUUGGUUGACAAUUCAUUGUGCUUGGAUGUCCCAACUUCCACGAACCUUGAAGACAGGUAUGUUAUGGAACGAUUAUGAUUUCAUAUGAUUUUGCUAUAUAAUAUUCUGAAGACACCACAGUACUCGUCCAUUUCAGGCAGUGAAUUUAUAUAUCGAAUAUCAAUGUUAACUAUGAUGUAUAUAAUAUAUGCAUCUCUAUGAUGCUAUGGUAUCGGCUGGCCCUCUUUUAUGAUGACUGAUUUAUAUCAUUAUCUGAUGUAAAGAGAAGCAUUAAUUCACAGUAACUAUUUUUGCUUUAUACCUCUACCUAAACAAGAAAAGGGAAAACAUUGUAUCACUACGUCAUUUAUGGGAAUGUUCAUGCUUGCCAGGAUA